rnacentral:pre_miRNA from 1 species
AGUGGUGCACCACAAGUUGGUGAAGCUGCCAGCAUGAUCUGAUGGUGGUAUAUAUGAAUAUAUGAUGUCUUUACCUCUGAUCUCUCCCUGACUGUCACGGAUCCAUGAAUCCAGGAUGAGGGGAGGGAAGAAAGAGGGAUAAUGAGCAUCAGGUCAUGCUGUAGUUUCAUCUGCUGGUGGGAGCACAU